UAUACAAGGUGUUACGGUACAGAGUCAAUGUGGAGGCUAUAUACAGGGUGUUACGGUACAGAGUCAAUGUGGAGGCUAUAUACAGGGGGUACUGGUACAGAGUCAAUGUGGAGGCUAUAUACAGGGUGUUACGGUACAGAGUCAAUGUGGAGGCUAUAUACAGGUGGUACCAGUACAGAGUCAAUGUGGAGGCUAUAUACAGGUGGUACCAGUACAGAGUCAAUGUGGGGUCUAUAUACAGGUGGUACCAGUACAGAGUCAAUGUGGAGGCUAUAUACAGGGGGUACUGGUACAGAGUCAAUGUGGAGGCUAUAUACAGGGUGUUACGGUACAGAGUCAAUGUGGAGGCUAUAUACAGGUUGUUACGGUACAGAGUCAAUGUGGAGGCUAUAUACAGGUGGUACCAGUACAGAGUCAAUGUGGAGGCUAUAUACAGGUGGUACCAGUACAGAGUCAAUGUGGAGGCUAUAUACAGGGUGUUACGGUACAGAGUCAAUGUGAAGGUUAUAUACAGGGGGUACUGGUACAGAGUCAAUGUGGAGGCUAUAUGCAGGGUGUUAUGGUACAGAGUCAAUGUGGAGGCUAUAUACAGGGUGUUACGGUACAGAGUCAAUGUGGAGGCUAUAUACAGGGGGUACCGGUACAGAGUCAAUGUGGAGGCUAUAUAUAGGUGGUACCAGUACAGAGUCAGUGUGGAGGCUAUAUACAGGGUGUUACGGUACAGAGUCAAUGUGGAGGCUAUAUACAGGGUGUUACGGUACAGAGUCAGUGUGGGGC
ensembl:lncRNA